rnacentral:rRNA from 1 species
CAGCUCAAAUUUGAAAGCCCGCGGGCGUUGUAAUUUGCAGGCGGAUGUUUUGGGGCGGGCGCUGUCUACGUUCCUUGGAACAGGACGCCGCAGAGGGUGAGAGCCCCGUGCGAUGGCGCCUCCAACCGCGUAAAACUCCGCCGACGAGUCGAGUUGUUUGGGAAUGCAGCUCCAAGUGGGUGGUAAAUUCCAUCUAAAGCUAAAUACUGGCGAGAGACCGAUAGCGAACAAGUACAGUGAUGGAAAGAUGAAAAGCACUUUGAAAAGAGAGUGAAACAGCACGUGAAAUUGUUGAAAGGGAAGGGUAUGCGAUUAGCGGCCAGCAGGAGGUGCCUUCUCGUGAAAAGGCCGUGCACCGUCUUCGGACACCGUGCGCGGAGAUGGCGAGGGGGCGCCUGAGGUCUGCGACUCGAGGUUGCUGGCGUAAUGAUUGCAUACCACCCGUCUU